UACAGAGGGGGCAAGCGUUAUUCGGAAUUAUUGGGCGUAAAGGGCGCGUAGGCGGCUUGGCAAGUGGAAGGUGAAAUCCCUCGGCUUAACCGAGGAACUGCCCUCCAAACUGCUUCGCUUGAGACCGGGAGAGGUGAGUGGAAUUUCCAGUGUAGCGGUGAAAUGCGUAGAUAUUGGGAGGAACACCAGUGGCGAAGGCGGCUCACUGGACCGGUACUGACGCUGAUGCGCGAAAGCGUGGGGAGCAAACGGG
rnacentral:rRNA from 1 species